UAAAAGGCUUUAUUAAAAGCUAUCUUUUGGAAAUAGUCAAUCCUUGU
rfam:Otolemur garnettii contig036263, whole genome shotgun sequence.